GGUGAGUGUACCAUGCCCCAGGAGCUCUCCCUCUGGAAUGCAGUGCCUGCUGGAGGAGUUAUUUGUCCCCCUGACACCAGCCAUAAAUUUGGCGGCUGGGAGGAGCCAUUAUACAAGCGUGACCCCUGGUAGAACACAGCCUGUGAUUUGCACAUCUAGCCCAAAUUCCCUCUGGAGAUCCAAUAAAUUUGGGGGGAAAGCAGCCAGUCCUGACCUAAGGGCCGAGGGAAGCAGUUUUGGUGGUUAAUGAUCCUCACAACGUGAGCGCACACAUGCUCCCCAUCUGAACCUGCCCACUUUGACACCUCACUGAACCGCUUCUGCCCAGGGCUUGUUUCCCUGAGGUGGCUCUCACCCCCUAUCACCUCCUUGCCACCCCCAGCCCAGGGGAGCAAAUUGAAUUUCUCCUGUGUUACCUGUCAGCUCGUUGCUGGGAGGCACACAGACCAAGCAUGGAAGGGAAGAGGAGCAGGCAGCCCACCUGGCCACCUCUGUGCCAGCACUCACGAUCCAACAGCUAGUCUCCCUUAUGCCAUCACUUGGAAUCACAGAAUCACAGAAUGGUUUGGGUUGGAAGGGACCUCAAAGUCCACCCCCCCAACCCCUGCCGUGGGCAGGGCUGCCCCCCACCAGCUCAGGCUGCCCAGGGCCCCAUCCAACCUGGCCUUGAGUGCCUCCAGGGAUGGGGCAUCACAGCUUCUCUGGGCAGCUGUGCCAUCACCUCACCGCCCUCUGGGAAAAGAAUCCCACAUCUCCUCACAUCUAACCUAAAUCUCCCUUAUUUUACUUUAAAGCCGUUCCCUCUGAUUGUCUGAUCACUAUCUGUCCUCUUGUUCAUCAGCUCCCCUCAAGUACUGGAGGGCUGCAAUGAUGUCUUCCAGAGCUCUCUCUUCUCCAGGCUGAACAAGCCCAGAGGCCUCAAUCUUUCUCCACAGGAACGGUGCUCCAGCCCUCCGAUAGUCUUUGUGGCCUCCUCUGGACCCUCUCCACCAGCUCUGCAUCCUCCUUGUGCUGGAGGCCCCAGGCCUGGAUGCAGUACUCAAGACUACAUCUUGGGGAUCUGGCAGCUUCCCAAGGGAGGGUCAGGGUCUGGUGCAGGACAGGAGGAGGGGGAGGGGAGGAAGACUCUGCCUUGCACUGGGGAGAGCGGGAGGCAGAUCUACCACAGGAUCGAAUGCUGUGUGAGCUUGGAUGCUCAGGCCCUGAUCUUUCAUUAACGUGCACACCAGGGUCAGUACUAGACAGAAGGUCUGAGAAGGUCUCCUCAUUCCUCACUCUGUACUCCUGCCUGCCCUGCACCCUCAGAGCAAGCGCCAAGGUAGGAGAGGGCAAGCAGCAGUGAGGUAGGUACUUAACCAGUCUCACUCCCAUGGGGAAGACAGGCUUGGGAGAGCUGGAGGUCUGCUCUGCUGAGCUCCUCAAUGCCGUGUGGGGUUGGUGGCUUUGUCAGCUUGGCAGUGGGGGUGUGAUGAGGGGCAGAUUUCUACACUUUUGCAGACAAAGAGAAGUACAACCUUUGGUGCCGCUGGAAAGUCACACUCAGUAGGGGCCUUAGCAUCCUGGAGCAUGAAGACCGAAGACAUUCUGCUAUUAACUCCAGAGAAAACUGUAGAGAGGGGAGUAAAAUGCAGCCCCGAGGCAAAAG
ensembl:lncRNA